rnacentral:ribozyme from 12 species
CACUUGUUUUCCAUUUUUUUUUGUUGUUUUUUUUGUUUUUGUGGUUUCCUAAGCUGACGCAUUGAGGAAAAAAAAAAGAAAAAAGGAGAAGCUAGAACCCAGUUGAGUUUUUUGGGAAGAGAACAAAAAAAGGAUCU